rnacentral:tRNA from 1 species
AUAUAUAUAAUUUAAAUUAAAAUUUUACAUUUUCAUUGUAAAAAUAAAAUUAUUUUUUUAUAUAUA